ensembl:lncRNA
AUGACUGCAUCUCACAAUGGGAGCCCUUUUUCACUAAUGGCAUAUUCCAACCUCUAUGACCAGAGCAGUGCCCAUCAGAGCACUGCUGGCAGGAAACUUUUCUUGGUGCAGAAGAGAAGACUCCUUGCACUCUCCUCUUCUUCAAGAGUAAGGCCAUUGGGAUUGCCUGCAAGACAGAAAAACAUCAUAGAAAACAGUUUUCUUGGCUCUGCUUCAGAACAGAGGAAAAUCAACUAUCCCAGCCAGGGCUUCUCUACCCUAGAGCUCCAAGGGGCCCAGCAGCAGUCGGGCAGCAUGGACAGAGACCAGUCUGCACAAGAGACUACCAGGAUGGACAGCAGAGAUGAAUCUUUGCAGAAAGAGAACAGAAAAGAGUCACAGAGCCACAGCAGCUGGAUCUUCAGAGAUAUCCCUGGAGACUGCACUGACUGGAGCUCUCAGGCAGGAGCUCAGCAGCACAAGAAAUGUUUGAAUGAUGCUGCAGCUCCUCUCAUUCCAUAAGAGCCAUCCUUUAACCCGAGCUUCUCAGUGCACUGAGAGAAUAUUCUGAGGUUUGUUCUUCAAUGUCAAACAGAAAUAAGUUCACUGAUUAAAAAAUAUCCUGUUUUACUUAUAUUUAUAAAAACAACUAUCACAUUUGUUAAAGAGGCAACCAUAUUGCUCAACAUAAUUCCAACACUAAAAAGACACAAAACACAUAUAAAACAAUGUUAAAACAUUAACAGAUUCAAGCAUAUGGAACAGGAAAUACAAAAAUGAUUGACAGUGACUGUUGAUAACUAACUGAUAAAAACUAAGUUUAUUUGUAAAUAACAGUAUCCCAACUCAUAAUAAUUUACAUUUUAAAAAAUUCAGCAAUCAAGCCUGUAAUACGAACUUCCUGUUUGCCAUUUUCUCCCUCAAUUUGAAAGCUUUCUCAUGCUUGUUGUACAACUGGGAAAAUUCUUCAGCAUCACCCAAGAAAUUUGGCAUCAAACCUAGCAUGAUAGGUUGCACAGAUAUGUUAACUGAGAUAAAUGAAUUAGCUCAAGUCCUGUUGUAGAUACUGUUGGAGAUUACACAUAUCUGGAUGUCAGGAGUGUCUGUGGCAAUCAGCACUCCUUAGUUUUGAAAUAUGUAGCUACCUAUACAAAAGCAUGGCAUUAAAAAAAAAAACUCACACAGGCUUUUUUCUAACAAGCCUUUGGUGUUAAUUGACAUUACUCUAUAUUUAUCAAAAUAAUGAAGAUGUGUUUAGCUAUGUCAUGAUCUCCUACUUUAGUUGAGUGAACUCAUAAAAAGAAACAGUUACUGUGUUUACUAUUAUUUAUUAUUAUUACUAUCAUUAUUUCAAUAAUAGUGAAAUGCAGAUAAGUAUUUGGCCAGUUGAAAUUUUAGCAUGAGCUCCAAAAAUUUCACACAUAUUUAGCAUACUGAUUCCAGACAUGGAAAAACAAAUUAGCAGAUAAGUAUUGUCAUAAUCAUUAGUUAAAAUUCUCCAAUACAAACUAGUGUCAGCUCCCACUUUCAGAGCCAAGGAAAAUAUUCAUAAGCUUUUCCUUCCUGCUGUAGAGAAUUCACUAUUAACUAGGAUUCAAAUUCCAUGUGUUCAGACUCCCUACAAAUACAAGUCCUCUUUCAGGGAUUCUAUCAAAAAGCUCUCACUGGAAACAAAAAAAUAAUAGAAACACUCCACAAUAAAAUGCCUUUAAUCAGAAGGCA